UAUAUCGUUUUUUAAUUUAAU
rnacentral:piRNA from 1 species